rnacentral:rRNA from 1 species
UUUCCGGUUGAUCCCGCCGGACCCGACUGCUAUCGGAUUGAUACUAAGCCAUGCGAGUCUUUGUAGUAAUACAAGGCAGACGGCUCAGUAACACGUAGUCAACCUACCCUAUGGACAAGAAUAAUCUCGGGAAACUGGGCAUAAUUCUUGAUAGAUCAUAAUGCCUGGAAUGGUUUAUGGUUAAAAUGAUUCGUCGCCAUAGGAUGGGACUGCGGCCUAUCAGCUUGUUGGUGAGGUAAUGGCCCACCAAGGCGAUUACAGGUACGGGCUCUGAGAGGAGAAGCCCGGAGAUGGGUACUGAGACACGGACCCAGGCCCUAUGGGGCGCAGCAGGCGAGAAAACUUUGCGAUGUGCGAAAGCACGACAAGGUUAAUCCGAGUGAUUUCUGCUAAAGAAAUCUUUUGCCAGUCAUAAAACCACUGGUGAAUAAGGGGUGGGCAAGUUCUGGUGUCAGCCGCCGCGGUAAAACCAGCACCUCAAGUGGUCAGGAUGAUUAUUGGGCCUAAAGCAUCCGUAGCCGGCUUUGUAAGUUUUCGGUUAAAUCCAUGUGCUCAACGCAUGGGCUGCCGAAAAUACUGCAUGGCUAGGGAGUGGGAGAGGUAGACGGUACUCAGUAGGAAGGGGUAAAAUCCUUUGAUCUAUUGAUGACCACCCGUGGCGAAGGCGGUCUACCAGAAC